CCUACGGGUGACAGCAGUGGGGAAUAUUGGGCAAUGGAGGCAACUCUGACCCAGCAACGCCGCGUGAAUGAUGAAGGUCUUCGGAUUGUAAAGUUCUGUGAUGGGGGAUGAACACAAUGACGGUACCCCCAUAGCAAGCCACGGGUAACUACGUGCUGGCAGCCGCGGUAAUCCGCAGGUGGCAGGCGUUAUCCGGAAGGACGGGGCGUAAAGGGUGCGUAGGUGGUUGAGUAAGUUGGCGGUGUAAUUCCUGGGCUAAACCGCGGAGCUACCGCCCAAACUGUUAGACUAGAGUGCGGGGGGGGUAAGUGGAAUGCGUGGUGUAGCGGUGGAAUGCGUAGAUAGUA
rnacentral:rRNA from 1 species